rnacentral:misc_RNA from 1 species
GAUGAAGAACGUAGCGAAAUGCGAUAACUAAUGUGUAUUGCAGAAUUCCGUGAAUCAUCGAGUCUUUGAACGCACAUUGCGCCCCCUGGUAUUCCGGGGGGCAUGCCUGUCCGAGCGUCAUUGCUGCCCAUCAAGCACGGCUUGUGUGUUGGGUCCUCGUCCCCCCCGGGGGACGUGCCCGAAAGGCAGCGGCGGCACCGCGUCCGGUCCUCGAGCGUAUGGGGCUUUGUCACCCGCUCUGCAGGCCCGGCCGGCGCUGGCCGACGCGAAAGCAACCAUUUUUUCUCCAGGUUGACCUCGGAUCAGGUAGGGAUACCCGCUGAACUUAAGCAUAUCAAUAAGCGGAGGA